GCUAGGAUGGCCGAGUGGUUAAGGCGUUGGACUUCAGAUCAAAUGGAUGUUUGUGUCCUCGUGGGUUCAACCCCCACUCCUAGCA
rnacentral:tRNA from 1 species